rnacentral:rRNA from 1 species
AACGAACGCUGGCGGCGUGCUUAACACAUGCAAGUCGAACGAUGAAGCCCUUCGGGGUGGAUUAGUGGCGAACGGGUGAGUAACACGUGGGCAAUCUGCCCUUCACUCUGGGACAAGCCCUGGAAACGGGGUCUAAUACCGGAUACGAGUUCGGGAGGCAUCUCCCGGACUGGAAAGCUCCGGCGGGGAAGGAUGAGCCCGCGGCCUAUCAGCUUGUUGGUGGGGUAAUGGCCUACCAAGGCGACGACGGGUAGCCGGCCUGAGAGGGCGACCGGCCACACUAGGACUGAGACACGGCCCAGACUGCUACGGGAGGCAGCAGUGGGGAAUAUUGCACAAUGGGCGAAAGCCUGAUGCAGCGACGCCGCGUGAGGGAUGACGGCCUUCGGGUUGUAAACCUCUUUCAGCAGGGAAGAAGCGAAAGUGACGGUACCUGCAGAAAAAGCACCGGCUAACUACGUGCCAGCAGCCGCGGUAACAC